GCUCUGAAUUGAAGCCCAGGUAAACGGCGGCCGUAACUAUAACGGUCCUAAGGUAGCGAAAUUCCUUGUCGGGUAAGUUCCGACCUGCACGAAUGGCGUAACGACUUCCCCGCUGUCUCCAACAUAGACUCAGCGAAAUUGAAUUACCGGUCAAGAUGCCGGUUACCCGCGGUUAGACGGAAAGACCCCGUGCACCUUUACUACAGCUUCACACUGGCAUUAGGCCGAACAUGUGCAGGAUAGGUGGUGGGCUUUGAAACCGGGACGCCAGUCCCGGUGGAGCCUCCCUUGAGAUACCACCCUUGUUCUGCUUGAUGUCUAACCGCGGUCCGUUAUCCGGAUCCGGGACCCUGUGUGGCGGGUAGUUUGACUGGGGCGGUCGCCUCCUAAAUCGUAACGGAGGCGCGCGAAGGUUGGCUCAGAGCGGUCGGAAAUCGCUCGUUGAGUGCAAUGGCAGAAGCCAGCCUGACUGCGAGACUGACAAGUCGAGCAGAGUCGAAAGACGGCCAUAGUGAUCCGGUGGUCCCAAGUGGGAGGGCCAUCGCUCAACGGAUAAAAGGUACGCCGGGGAUAACAGGCUGAUACUGCCCAAGAGUCCAUAUCGACGGCAGUGUUUGGCACCUCGAUGUCGGCUCAUCUCAUCCUGGGGCUGGAGCAGGUCCCAAGGGUACGGCUGUUCGCCGUUUAAAGAGGUACGUGAGCUGGGUUUAGAACGUCGUGAGACAGUUCGGUCCCUAUCUGCCGUGGGUGUAGGAUACUUGAGAGGAGUUGCCCCUAGUACGAGAGGACCGGGGUGAACGAUCCACUGGUGGACCAGUUGUUAUGCCAAUAGCAGUGCUGGGUAGCUAUGAUCGGACAGGAUAACCGCUGAAGGCAUCUAAGCGGGAAGCCCCCCUCAAAACAAGGUAUCCCUGAGAGCCGAGAUAGACCAUCUCGUCGAUAGGCCAGAGAUGUAAGCGUGGUAACACGUUCAGUUGACUGGUACUAAUUGCUCGAUAGGCUUGAUUUG
rnacentral:rRNA from 1 species